GGGACUGAGAAGCCUAUUGUUGGAUUCAUCGCUGGCCUAACUGCUCCUCCAGGCCGUCGCAUGGGUCAUGCUGGUGCCAUUGUUUCAGGUGGAAAAGGAACAGCCCAAGACAAAAUCAAGACACUACGAGAAGCUGGAGUAACGGUGGUGGAGUCACCUGCGAAAAUUGGCGUUUCAAUGCUUGACGUUUUCAAACAGAGAGGCCUUGUUAGUUAGACUGAAAAUCAAAACCUCAGAUUUUCAGAGUUCCACAGUUCCAUUUUGCACAAAAUUUGGAGUUCCUGCUUCCACCUGAAAUGGUGUAAAAUUUUCAAUAAGGUACCCAACUUUUCG
rnacentral:misc_RNA from 1 species